GCUUUGUUUUUCCAGGUCUAUAAAGGAGAAUUUCAGCUCCCUGAAUUUCUUAAAGAAAAACCACAGACUGAGGAAGUGGAAUAGCAGAGCCAGGAACCUCUUACGUACAUGAGGGAAGACUGCUGCCUUUCAACAGAAGCGAAAUUUCUAGGACUGGCUGUCCCUGCUGAGAUCAGUGGAGCGUAUGUACCAUGGCCCGCAUCUCCUGUUCCCUUGCCAG
rnacentral:lncRNA from 1 species